rnacentral:tRNA from 1 species
CCCUCGAUGGUGUAGUUGGAUAUCACGUUCGGCUGUAAUUGAACAAUUGUUACCGAAAGGUCACCGGCUCGAUUCCGGUUCGAGGGA